rnacentral:rRNA from 1 species
ACUCCUACGGGAGGCAGCAGUAAGGAAUAUUGGUCAAUGGGCGGAAGCCUGAACCAGCCAUGCCGCGUGCAGGAAGACGGCCCUACGGGUUGUAAACUGCUUUUGUACGGGAAUAAACCUUGAUACGUGUAUCAAGCUGAAUGUACUGUAAGAAUAAGGAUCGGCUAACUCCGUGCCAGCAGCCGCGGUAAUACGGAGGAUCCGAGCGUUAUCCGGAUUUAUUGGGUUUAAAGGGUGCGUAGGCGGCCUGUUAAGUCAGAGGUGAAAGGCGGUAGCUUAACUAUCGGAGUGCCUUUGAUACUGACGGGCUUGAAUGCAGCUGAGGUAGGCGGAAUGUGACAAGUAGCGGUGAAAUGCAUAGAUAUGUCACAGAACACCAAUUGUGAAGGCAGCUUACUAAAGUGUGAUUGACGCUGAGGCACGAAAGCGUGGGGAUCAAACAGGAUUAGAUACCCUGGUAGUCCACGCCCUAAACGAUGAAUACUCGAUGUUGGCGAUAUACGGUCAGCGUCUAAGCGAAAGCGUUAAGUAUUCCACCUGGGGAGUACGCCCGCAAGGGUGAAACUCAAAGGAAUUGACGG